ACCUGAGACAUUACCUGGUUAUAACCUGGUUAUUACCUGGUUAUAACCUGAGACAUUAACUUGUUAUAACCUGGUUAUAACCUGGUUAUAACCUGAGACAUUAC